rnacentral:rRNA from 1 species
CAGAGUUUGAUCAUGGCUCAGGAUGAACGCUAGCUACAGGCUUAACACAUGCAAGUCGAGGGGUAACGACAGCGAAAGCUUGCUUUUGCUGGGCGACGACCGGCGCACGGGUGAGUAACGCGUAUCCAACCUGCCCAUAACUAAGGGAUAAUCCGUAGAAAUGCGGUCUAAUNCCUUAUGUGUUCCGACGAAGACAUCUGAAUUGGAAUAAAGAUUUAUCGGUUAUGGAUGGGGAUGCGUCUGAUUAGAUUGUUGGCGGGGCAACGGCCCACCAAGUCUACGAUCAGUAGGGGUUCUGAGAGGAAGGUCCCCCACAUUGGAACUGAGACACGGUCCAAACUCCUACGGGAGGCAGCAGUGAGGAAUAUUGGUCAAUGGGCGAGAGCCUGAACCAGCCAAGUAGNGUGCAGGAAGACGGCCCUAUGGGUUGUAAACUGCUUUUGUAUGGAUAA